rnacentral:rRNA from 1 species
GACGAACGCUGGCGGCGUGCUUAACACAUGCAAGUCGAACGAUGACGACCGAGCUUGCUCGGUCUGAUUAGUGGCGAACGGGUGAGUAACACGUGAGCAACCUGCCCUUCACUCUGGGAUAACCUCGGGAAAUCGGGGCUAAUACCGGAUAUGAGCUCCUGUCGCAUGGCGGGUGUUGGAAAGUUUUUCGGUGAAGGAUGGGCUCGCGGCCUAUCAGUUUGUUGGUGAGGUAGUGGCUCACCAAGGCGAUGACGGGUAGCCGGCCUGAGAGGGCGACCGGCCACACUGGGACUGAGACACGGCCCAGACUCCUACGGGAGGCAGCAGUGGGGAAUAUUGCACAAUGGGCGAAAGCCUGAUGCAGCGACGCCGCGUGAGGGAUGACGGCCUUCGGGUUGUAAACCUCUUUCAGCAGGGAAAAAGCGAAAGUGACGGUACCUGCAGAAGAAGCGCCGGCUAACUACGUG